AGUGUAUCAUGUGUGGUCGCUAGAAGAAAAAAAAGAAAAAAAACUUUUUUAAAAGUCGACGCGACGGAACCGAUACUGGUGCGCUCGGGGAACCUAAAGAAAGGAAAGGCCAGUCUGGAGUUGACGGUAAACGGUCAAAAUGGCCCUACAGUUGCAGGAUCUGCACCCAGGAGGUCAAAUUAUUUCGGAAAAAGGCCAAAUAAUUAUUGUUUCACGGCUUAAGCAGGCCUCCCGUAAGAAAAACAAGCAACGAAAUCGGUCGGCAGGAACCGGUCCCAGUAAUGUGUCGAAUCUUCACCGCCUCAUGCGACGUUAUUGGGUGCUGGACUUGUUUAAACCGAAACCAGGGGAUCAAAUUUUUCGGGAAGAUCCAUAGAAGCAACCGACUCCGAUUAUGUGCCAGGUCUUCUAAACCGUCUUUUACGUUGGAGCAAGAUAAGUUAGCCUGGAAGGAACCUGUAACAUGCACUGUAUAAAUAUGUCGAAGAAAAAGAAAACACACGGAAGUUGAAGAUGGUCCCGACUCUCGAGUUUAAAAGCAUCCGCUGAAAAAAAAAUCUGAAAUUUGACCUAAGCAAGAAGAAAAUACGGAACCGUAGGCUCAAAUCAAGGCCGAGAUAAAUUUUGUGCUGGUAGCCGUUUGAAAUAAUAUAUUUUCCAACGAGCCGUCUUGGAUCAAUAUAGGAACUAUUUUUGAUUGAUGGAUGGAUGCCUUAAUUGAUGGCGAACGCUGAACAUAACCCUCAGCAUAAAUCUUUCCACAAAAAGCUUGAUGUAAAAUGGUCAUUAUAAAGGCAAUUUAGAUGAAUAUAGGUUCAUAUAUUUUAUAUUAUAAUCC